AUGGCCAUAGUUGGAGAGAGUGGAAGUGGCAAGUCAACUGUUGUCAGCCUAGUUGAAAGAUUCUACGAUCCACAGGCUGGAGAAGUUUUGAUAGAUGGAGUCAACAUCAAGAAUCUGAAUCUUGAUUGGAUAAGAGGGAAGAUCGGCCUUGUUAGCCAAGAACCAUUGCUGUUUAUGACCUCCAUUAAAGAUAACAUAAUCUAUGGUAAAGAAGAGGCAACACUUGAAGAGAUCAAGAGAGCAGCCGAGCUUGCAAAUGCAGCAAACUUCAUCGACAAGUUACCAAAUGUACGUAAAUAA
rnacentral:rRNA from 1 species